rnacentral:rRNA from 1 species
GACGAACGCUGGCGGCGUGCUUAACACAUGCAAGUCGAACGGAAAGGCCCUGCUUUUGUGGGGUGCUCGAGUGGCGAACGGGUGAGUAACACGUGAGUAACCUGCCCUUGACUUUGGGAUAACUUCAGGAAACUGGGGCUAAUACCGGAUAGGAGCUCCGGCUGCAUGGUGUGGUUGGGAAAUUUUCGGCGGUUGGGGAUGGACUCGCGGCUUAUCAGCUUGUUGGUGGGGUAGUGGCUUACCAAGGCUUUGACGGGUAGCCGGCCUGAGAGGGUGACCGGCCACAUUGGGACUGAGAUACGGCCCAGACUCCUACGGGAGGCAGCAGUGGGGAAUAUUGCACAAUGGGCGGAAGCCUGAUGCAGCGACGCCGCGUGCGGGAUGACGGCCUUCGGGUUGUAAACCGCUUUCGCCUGUGACGAAGCGUGAGUGACGGUAAUGGGUAAAGAAGCACCGGCUAACUACGUG